UACGUAGGUGGCAAGCGUUGUCCGGAAUUACUGGGCGUAAAGGGAGCGUAGGCGGUUUAUUAAGUGGGAUGUGAAAUCCCCGGGCUUAACCCGGGAAUAGCAUUCCAAACUGGUGAACUAGAGUGCAGGAGAGGAAAGUGGAAUUCCAAGUGUAGCGGUGAAAUGCGUAGAGAUUUGGAGGAACACCAGUGGCGAAGGCGACUUUCUGGACUGUAACUGACGCUGAUGCUCGAGAGCGUGGGGAGCAAACAGG
rnacentral:rRNA from 1 species